UACAUACUAGCCAAAUGGAAAAGGCGCUUGAUUGCAGUUCAGGAUCAUGUAGGUUCAAAUCCUACGUAUGAAC
rnacentral:tRNA from 1 species